GAAUACUUAUAUUCUUUCAGCUUAUAUAUAAUUGCUAUUACUUGCUGGGCACUUAAAUGCUCAUCCUUGCUUAAAUUAAAUGUUUUCAGUUAUGUAUGAGCAACCUGAAGGCUCAGGCACGAACAAAGGAAAAAGGAAAGCUGAUCGAAUAAGUGUGUAUUAUGAGUUAAUGGUUAUAGUUGUAUUGGUAUCUAUUCAAGUAUUGUAAGGAAUGUAUUUGAAGGUCACGUACCUGGGGAAGUAAACUUUGAUGUAUGUA
rnacentral:lncRNA from 1 species